rnacentral:misc_RNA from 1 species
GAUGAAGAACGCAGCGAAAUGCGAUAAGUAAUGUGAAUUGCAGAAUUCAGUGAAUCAUCGAAUCUUUGAACGCACAUUGCGCCCGCCAGUAUUCUGGCGGGCAUGCCUGUUCGAGCGUCAUUUCAACCAUCAAGCCCCCGGGCCUGUGUUGGGGACCUGCGGCUGCCCGCAGGCCCCGAAAACCAGUGGCGGGCUCGCUGUCACCCCGAGCGUAGUAGCUAACACCUCGCCCAGGGAGUGCCGCGGGUCCCGGCCGUAAAACCUAACACCUAAGGUUGACCUCGGAUCAGGUAGGAAGACCCGCUGAACUUAAGCAUAUCAAUAAGCGGAGGA